GCUGGUGGCUGGCUCCCUGAUUACCAACCAGGGGACUAGGACUAGGUAUCGGAGGGAAUAAAAAAAGAUGUCAGAGGACAGAGCCAAUGUUAACAUGGGGCCUGGGCAAUCUAACAACGGGCCCAGUGGAGCACCGGAUGCCAACUCAGAAGCCCCUGGACCUUCAAAUAAGGUCAGUCAAGCACCACCAAGAAGGAGGAGACGGCCCGCUCCCCGUCCAAUCGAGAUAUGUCUUAAAGACAUCGCCCACAUCAUCUCCCUUCUACAGACAGUCUGAAGUGGAAAAACCUUGAAGUCAGAAGCCGGAAGCCAAAAGCCAAAGCAAAUUAUCAGUGAAAACGAUGCCAUGGAUAUAGGAUAACAUCUUCAUUUGGAGCCUUUUCAAUUCCUUCAACAGUGUCAGUGGGUAGACACUUGACUUUGUAGAGAACUGACAUUAGUAUAAAGAUAAAAAGGCACAACAGGAAACCUGUAGCCUACAUUAAAAUGGGCUCCAACCUAA